UGGCAGACGGGUGAGUAACACGUGGGAACCUUCCUAGGGGUACGGAACAACUCAGGGAAACUUGAGCUAAUACCGUAUACGUCCGUGAGGAGAAAGAUUUAUCGCCCCUAGACGGGCCCGCGUAGGAUUAGGUAGUUGGUGAGGUAACGGCUCACCAAGCCUACGAUCCUUAGCUGAUCUGAGAGGAUGAUCAGCCACACUGGGACUGAGACACGGCCCAGACUCCUACGGGAGGCAGCAGUGGGGAAUCUUGGACAAUGGGCGCAAGCCUGAUCCAGCCAUGCCGCGUGAGUGAAGAAGGCCUUCGGGUUGUAAAGCUCUUUUACCAGGGACGAUAAUGACGGUACCUGGAGAAUAAGCCCCGGCAAACUUCGUGCCAGCAGCCGCGGUAAUACGAAGGGGGCUAGCGUUGUUCGGAAUUACUGGGCGUAAAGCGCACGUAGGCGGAUUGUUAAGUCAGAGGUGAAAUCCCGGAGCUCAACUUCGGAACUGCCUUUGAUACUGGCAAUCUAGAGUCCGGA
rnacentral:rRNA from 1 species